GACGAACGCUGGCGGCGUGCCUAAUACAUGCAAGUCGAGCGCAGGAAACUGACGGAACUCUUCGGAGGGAAGGCAGUGGAAUGAGCGGCGGACGGGUGAGUAACACGUAAGGAACCUGCCUCAAGGAUUGGGAUAACUCCGAGAAAUCGGAGCUAAUACCGGAUAGUUCAACGGACCGCAUGGUCCGCUGAUGAAAGGCGCUCCGGCGUCACCUUGAGAUGGCCUUGCGGUGCAUUAGCUAGUUGGUGGGGUAACGGCUCACCAAGGCGACGAUGCAUAGCCGACCUGAGAGGGUGAUCGGCCACACUGGGAAUGAGACACGGCCCAGACUCCUACGGGAGGCAGCAGUAGGGAAUCUUCCACAAUGGACGAAAGUCUGAUGGAGCAACGCCGCGUGAGUGAUGAAGGUUUUCGGAUCGUAAAACUCUGUUGUAAGGGAAGAACACGUACGAGAGGUAAUGCUCGUACCUUGACGGUACCUUACGAGAAAGCCACGGCUAACUACGUGCCAGCCGCCGCCGUAAAAC
rnacentral:rRNA from 1 species